UAACAGGGCCCUGAUUCUUGAUUUUCGGGGAGUAGAACUACCGAGAGAAAGUGGGCGUGGUUCUCUCACUGUCGCAAAUUUGUAUUCUUGACUGUUCUUUCUACUCCCACGCGUUUCCCCGGGGAUGAAAACUGUUCUAUUACCAAUUUGUAGGGAGUUUAGUAGUGAACCUCGCAUAACCUAUCUAUUUUACCGUCGAGUGAAGGAUUCCCUCAGAUUUUACUAUAUUUGAUUGUUUCUAAACUUCAUAGUGUUUGCUGUAAUGGAGUUAGAGGAUGUAAUUUUGUGGGAUCAGAUAAUCAAUAAUAUUCAGGAUGCCGAACAAGAACAACAAUUGGAAAGAGAAACCUUCAUUAGAAAAAAUCCAUUCUUGCUGUCUGACCAAAAAUUUGUGAAGUUGUUCAGGUUAACGAAACCAUUGAUGCGAGAUGUAAUAGAGACAUUAACUCCUCAUUUACAACAGCCUACUCGUAGGUCUGCUUUAAGUGUAGAAACAAAGGUACUAGCAACAGUACGAUUUCUGGCUACGGGCAGUUAUCAGGAACUAACAGGGUCAAGUGAAUAUGUUGGUAUCAGUCAAGCCAGCAUGAGUAGGUGCAUUUCUGAAGUUUGCGAAGCCCUAAAUGCACCAGAGGUAUUUAAUGCAUGGGUACAUUUUCCUCGAAAUCUGGCAGACUUUGAAAGUUUAAGGCGCAGGUUUUAUGACAAAUAUCAUUUCCCAGGUGUAAUCGGCUGCAUCGAUUGCACCCACAUUGCAAUAAUUGCCCCUUUCGUAGAAGAUGCAGAACAUCCCGAGAGAGCUUACAUUAAUAGGAAAAAUUACCAUUCUUUAAAUGUUCAAUUGGUAAUAUGUAGUGCUGAUUUAAUAAUGCAUGUAGUACCUUUUCAUUGACAGAAGAUAUGUGAUGAAUCAUUACGUAUCAUGAAUGUGAAUGCUAGGUUUCCGGGGAGCACUCAUGAUGCUUAUAUUUGGAGACAUUCCGCAGUGUCUCAAGUCAUGGAAGCAAUGUACCGUCGAGAUGCGCGUAAUGUUUUUUACCUUUUAGGCGAUUCAGGAUAUCCUACACGUCCUUGGUUGCUGACACCUAUCCCGAACCCACAAGCAGGUGGGGAAGAACGUUUCAAUGAUAGGAUAUGCAGUAUUCGCAGUUUAAUUGAGAGGUGUAAUGGGGUGUUAAAGAAUCGUUUCCGAUGUUUGUUACGGCACAGAGUGUUACAUUAUACUCCGACAGUAGCUGCACGUAUUGUCAAUGCUUGUGUUGUGUUACACAAUAUGUGUAUUGCAUAUGCUGUCCCGGAGCUCCGUUACGACCAGUUUAUAGAUCAUCCCGAUUACGGGAUUUUUGCAGCAGAAGUGAGAGGUCAACCCGGUGGGAUAAACCCUGAUCUUAUAGCAGUAAGGAGAUUACAGCAAAAUAUAAUACAAAAUCAUCUUUAAUACAAAAAUGUUAAACCUAAUAUUCAAUAAAAUUACAUUA